AGGACGGGCUGGCUCUGAAGGAAGGCUGCCAAGCUCCCCAGAGUGGGGACGCCAGAGCUCUGAGGCUUCUGGGAGUCAUGUGAUAAGGGACAUCUGGGGCUAGGAGCCCAUAAGGUCAGAACCCCAGCCUUGGAGCAAGAGCCAGUAGCCACAAGGGAAAGACCCUGGGCAUGUCCUUCCCCUUUCAGAUCUCAGUCCCUGUCUCUAUAUCAGGAAAGGUGGAAAACAACAUCCUGGUUCCUAACAGGGCAGGGGAGGGAGGGUUCGGGCGGUGGGAGGGUGGGGAGUGGGGCUCAUACCACUCAUCCACGUACCGGGCCGGUAUUUCUAAGUCCAGCCAGUGUUCUGGGCACUGGAGUGCGCCCAGCGAACCAAAGGACAAAGGGCUCUGCCCUCAAAGAGCUGAUGCUCCGGUGGAGAGAAACGACAAAAUUAACCAGCAGAUGACAGACCACGUGAGAACGUGCUGCAGGAAAAAGAUCGCGGUGGAGGGAUCGGGAGGGCAGGGACAGGGGUGUUGGCCAGGUGCAAUUUCCAACAGUCAGGAAAUUCUCCCUGGAAAACUGGCAGCCAAGAGAGACUGCUGGAGGCCAGGAAGUGCAUGAGGUCCCAAGUGUUGCUAUUGCAAAGCACAGCAAGCUCCGUGGGCUUAAGACAACACACCGUCCUACUGUUCUGUGGGCCAGAAGUCUCCAUGUGCUAAAGCCAAGGUGUUGGCAGGGCUGGUUUCUUCUGGAGGCUCUGUGGGGAGAGAAUCCAGGCGAGAGUCCAUUUCCUUGCCCUUUCCAGCUUCUAGAGGCACCCACAUUCCUUGGCUGGUGGCCCCUUCCUCCACCUUCAAAGCCAGCAGCAGAGAGUACCAUGUCGUCUCUGGCUCUGACCCCGACCCCCCUGCCUGUGAUUACACUUGGCCCACGUGGGUAAGUUCCAAUCAUCUUUCCAUCUCAGGAUCCACAAUUAACUCUUGUUUCCAAAGUCCCUUGGCUUUGCCACGCUAAGUCUGGGGGUGAGGACAUGGACAGCUUUGGGAGCCAUUAUCCUGCCUACCAUGGGAAGUCAGGUUUAGUUUUGAGGCUAUCUGAGGAAAGCAGGUUCCAGAAGAGAGAACAGCCAGUGCGAAUGCCCGGAGGCAGAUGCAUGCCUGGUGUGUUCAAGCCAGGAGGUGAGGCUGGCCGGAGUGGAGGGAGCUAGGACGAGAGUGGGUGGCUGGAGGUGGGAGAGACUUUGACAUUGAACCAGAGGGAGGUGGGAGCCAUGAAGGGUCU
rnacentral:lncRNA from 10 species